ensembl:snRNA U6 U6 spliceosomal RNA
GUGCUAACUUCUGCAGGACAUGUACUAAAUCUAGAACGAUACAGAGAAGAUUCGUAUGGCCCUGCACAAGGCUGACACACAAAUUCAUGAAACAUUCCGUAUGUUU